GUGCCAGCCGCCGCGGUAAUACGGAGGGUGCAAGCGUUGUCCGGAAUCAUUGGGUGUAAAGGGUGCGCAGGCGGGCUGUUAAGUCUGGGGUGAAAUCUUACCGCUCAACGGUAAACGUGCCUUGGAUACUGACAGUCUUGAGUAUGAUAGAGGUCGGUGGAAUUCGUAGUGUAGCGGUGAAAUGCAUAGAUAUUACGAAGAACACCAGUGGUGAAAACGGCCGGCUGGAUCAUAACUGACGCUCAGGCACGAGAGCGUGGGGAGCGAACAGGAUUAGAAACCCGUGUAGUCC
rnacentral:rRNA from 1 species